rnacentral:tRNA from 2 species
GCCGACCUAGCUCAGUGGUAGAGCGCGUGGCUUUUAACCACGUGGUCGUGGGUUCUAUCCCCACGGUCAGGCG